rnacentral:rRNA from 1 species
AAUCUUGCACAAUGGGCGAAAGCCUGAUGCAGCGACGCCGCGUGGGGGAUGAAGGCCCUAGGGUCGUAAACCCCUUUCAGGAGGGACGAAAAUGACGGUACCUCCAGAAGAAGGCCCGGCCAACUACGUGCCAGCAGCCGCGGUAAGACGUAGGGGCCAAGCGUUGUCCGGAAUUAUUGGGCGUAAAGAGCUCGUAGGCGGUUGCGUAAGUCGGAUGUGAAAACUCAGGGCUCAACCCUGAGACGCCAUCCGAUACUGCGCUGACUUGAAUCCAGUAGGGGAGUGUAGAAUUCCUGGUGUAGCGGUAAAAUGCGCAGAUAUCAGGAGGAAUUCCGAUAGCGAAGGCAGCACUCUGGGCCGGUACUGACGUGAGGAGCGCAAGCGUGGGGAGCAAACAGGAUUAGAUACCCUGUAGUCCACGCCGUA